UUAAGCGACUAAGCGUACACGGUGGAUGCCCUGGCAGUCAGAGGCGAUGAAGGACGUGCUAAUCUGCGAUAAGCGUCGGUAAGGUGAUAUGAACCGUUAUAACCGGCGAUUUCCGAAUGGGGAAACCCAGUGUGAUUCGUCACACUAUCAUUAACUGAAUCCAUAGGUUAAUGAGGCGAACCGGGGGAACUGAAACAUCUAAGUACCCCGAGGAAAAGAAAUCAACCGAGAUUCCCCCAGUAGCGGCGAGCGAACGGGGAGGAGCCCAGAGCCUGAAUCAGUGUGUGUGUUAGUGGAAGCGUCUGGAAAGGCGCGCGAUACAGGGUGACAGCCCCGUACACAAAAAUGCACAUGCUGUGAGCUCGAUGAGUAGGGCGGGACACGUGGUAUCCUGUCUGAAUAUGGGGGGACCAUCCUCCAAGGCUAAAUACUCCUGACUGACCGAUAGUGAACCAGUACCGUGAGGGAAAGGCGAAAAGAACCCCGGCGAGGGGAGUGAAAAAGAACCUGAAACCGUGUACGUACAAGCAGUGGGAGCCUCUUUAUGGGGUGACUGCGUACCUUUUGUAUAAUGGGUCAGCGACUUAUAUUCUGUAGCAAGGUUAACCGAAUAGGGGAGCCGAAGGGAAACCGAGUCUUAACUGGGCGUUAAGUUGCAGGGUAUAGACCCGAAACCCGGUGAUCUAGCCAUGGGCAGGUUGAAGGUUGGGUAACACUAACUGGAGGACCGAACCGACUAAUGUUGAAAAAUUAGCGGAUGACUUGUGGCUGGGGGUGAAAGGCCAAUCAAACCGGGAGAUAGCUGGUUCUCCCCGAAAGCUAUUUAGGUAGCGCCUCGUGAAUUCAUCUCCGGGGGUAGAGCACUGUUUCGGCAAGGGGGUCAUCCCGACUUACCAACCCGAUGCAAACUGCGAAUACCGGAGAAUGUUAUCACGGGAGACACACGGCGGGUGCUAACGUCCGUCGUGAAGAGGGAAACAACCCAGACCGCCAGCUAAGGUCCCAAAGUCAUGGUUAAGUGGGAAACGAUGUGGGAAGGCCCAGACAGCCAGGAUGUUGGCUUAGAAGCAGCCAUCAUUUAAAGAAAGCGUAAUAGCUCACUGGUCGAGUCGGCCUGCGCGGAAGAUGUAACGGGGCUAAACCAUGCACCGAAGCUGCGGCAGCGACGCUUAUGCGUUGUUGGGUAGGGGAGCGUUCUGUAAGCCUGCGAAGGUGUGCUGUGAGGCAUGCUGGAGGUAUCAGAAGUGCGAAUGCUGACAUAAGUAACGAUAAAGCGGGUGAAAAGCCCGCUCGCCGGAAGACCAAGGGUUCCUGUCCAACGUUAAUCGGGGCAGGGUGAGUCGACCCCUAAGGCGAGGCCGAAAGGCGUAGUCGAUGGGAAACAGGUUAAUAUUCCUGUACUUGGUGUUACUGCGAAGGGGGGACGGAGAAGGCUAUGUUGGCCGGGCGACGGUUGUCCCGGUUUAAGCGUGUAGGCUGGUUUUCCAGGCAAAUCCGGAAAAUCAAGGCUGAGGCGUGAUGACGAGGCACUACGGUGCUGAAGCAACAAAUGCCCUGCUUCCAGGAAAAGCCUCUAAGCAUCAGGUAACAUCAAAUCGUACCCCAAACCGACACAGGUGGUCAGGUAGAGAAUACCAAGGCGCUUGAGAGAACUCGGGUGAAGGAACUAGGCAAAAUGGUGCCGUAACUUCGGGAGAAGGCACGCUGAUAUGUAGGUGAAGCGACUUGCUCGUGGAGCUGAAAUCAGUCGAAGAUACCAGCUGGCUGCAACUGUUUAUUAAAAACACAGCACUGUGCAAACACGAAAGUGGACGUAUACGGUGUGACGCCUGCCCGGUGCCGGAAGGUUAAUUGAUGGGGUUAGCGGUAACGCGAAGCUCUUGAUCGAAGCCCCGGUAAACGGCGGCCGUAACUAUAACGGUCCUAAGGUAGCGAAAUUCCUUGUCGGGUAAGUUCCGACCUGCACGAAUGGCGUAAUGAUGGCCAGGCUGUCUCCACCCGAGACUCAGUGAAAUUGAACUCGCUGUGAAGAUGCAGUGUACCCGCGGCAAGACGGAAAGACCCCGUGAACCUUUACUAUAGCUUGACACUGAACAUUGAGCCUUGAUGUGUAGGAUAGGUGGGAGGCUUUGAAGUGUGGACGCCAGUCUGCAUGGAGCCGACCUUGAAAUACCACCCUUUAAUGUUUGAUGUUCUAACGUUGGCCCCUAAUCGGGGUUGCGGACAGUGUCUGGUGGGUAGUUUGACUGGGGCGGUCUCCUCCUAAAGAGUAACGGAGGAGCACGAAGGUUGGCUAAUCCUGGUCGGACAUCAGGAGGUUAGUGCAAUGGCAUAAGCCAGCUUGACUGCGAGCGUGACGGCGCGAGCAGGUGCGAAAGCAGGUCAUAGUGAUCCGGUGGUUCUGAAUGGAAGGGCCAUCGCUCAACGGAUAAAAGGUACUCCGGGGAUAACAGGCUGAUACCGCCCAAGAGUUCAUAUCGACGGCGGUGUUUGGCACCUCGAUGUCGGCUCAUCACAUCCUGGGGCUGAAGUAGGUCCCAAGGGUAUGGCUGUUCGCCAUUUAAAGUGGUACGCGAGCUGGGUUUAGAACGUCGUGAGACAGUUCGGUCCCUAUCUGCCGUGGGCGCUGGAGAACUGAGGGGGGCUGCUCCUAGUACGAGAGGACCGGAGUGGACGCAUCACUGGUGUUCGGGUUGUCAUGCCAAUGGCACUGCCCGGUAGCUAAAUGCGGAAGAGAUAAGUGCUGAAAGCAUCUAAGCACGAAACUUGCCCCGAGAUGAGUUCUCCCUGACUCCCUGAGAGUCCUGAAGGAACGUUGAAGACGACGACGUUGAUAGGCCGGGUGUGUAAGCGCAGCGAUGCGUUGAGCUAACCGGUACUAAUGAACCGUGAGGCUUAACCU
rnacentral:rRNA from 1 species